UACUUUUGAGUUUUGAGCACUCCUUAAAUGAGAAUGACAACACAGGUCAAUGCUCCUGUGAAGAUUUACCUUAAGAGUGAAGAGUUAGCAUUAAUCCCGGACUGAAAGUGUUGAGAUUAAACCCUGAUGUGGAAUUUAAAGCUGAGUUCAUUUAAGCUAAGGACAUCUACGGCCUUGCGUGUUUCAGUGAAUGACCACAACACUAAGUAAAA